rnacentral:rRNA from 1 species
GACGAACGCUGGCGGCGUGCCUAAUACAUGCAGGUAGAACGCUGAAGGAGGAGCUUGCUUCUCUGGAUGAGUUGCGAACGGGUGAGUAACGCGUAGGUAACCUGCCUGGUAGCGGGGGAUAACUAUUGGAAACGAUAGCUAAUACCGCAUAAUAGUAGAUGUUGCAUGACAUUUGCUUAAAAGGUGCAAUUGCAUCACUACCAGAUGGACCUGCGUUGUAUUAGCUAGUUGGUGGGGUAACGGCUCACCAAGGCGACGAUACAUAGCCGACCUGAGAGGGUGAUCGGCCACACUGGGACUGAGACACGGCCCAGACUCCUACGGGAGGCAGCAGUAGGGAAUCUUCGGCAAUGGACGGAAGUCUGACCGAGCAACGCCGCGUGAGUGAAGAAGGUUUUCGGAUCGUAAAGCUCUGUUGUAAGAGAAGAACGAGUGUGAGAGUGGAAAGUUCACACUGUGACGGUAUCUUACCAGAAAGGGACGGCUAACUACGUG